rnacentral:other from 1 species
ACGGUUAUAAAUCAACAUAUUGAUUUAUUAGCAUGGAAAUCCCCUGAGUGAAACAACGAAUUGCUGUGUGUAGUCUUUGCCCAUCUCCCACGAUGGGCUUUUUUUUAA